rnacentral:tRNA from 2 species
GCGGAUGUGGUGGAAUUGGUAGACACGCUAGAUUCAGGUUCUAGUGCUAGCAAUAGCAUGAAGGUUCAAGUCCUUUCAUCCGCA